rnacentral:rRNA from 1 species
UUCCGGUUGAUCCUGCCGGAGGUCACUGCUAUUGGGGUCCGACUAAGCCAUGCGAGUCGAGAGGGGUUAAGCCCUCGGCGAACUGCUCAGUAACACGUGGGUAAUCUACCCUCAGGACAGGGAUAACCCCGGGAAACUGGGGAUAAUACCUGAUAGGUGAAGAUGUCUGGAACGAUUCUUCGCCCAAAGCUCCGGCGCCUGAGGAUGAGCCUGCGGCUGAUUAGGUUGUUGGCGGUGUAACGGACCACCAAGCCAAAGAUCAGUACGGGCACUGAGAGGUGUAGCCCGGAGAUGGGGUCUGAGACACGGCCCCAGGCCCUACGGGGCGCAGCAGGCGCGAAAACUCCGCAAUACGCGAAAGCGUGACGGGGGGACCCCAAGUGCGUCAUCGCAAGAUGGUGCUUUUUUAGAGUGUAAACAGCUCUAAGAAUAAAAGCGGGGUAAGACCGGUGCCAGCCGCCGCGGUAACACCGGCCGCUUGAGUGGUGACCGCUAUUACUGGGCCUAAAGCGUUCGUAGCCGGUUUGGUAAGUCCUUGGGUAAAUCCUGGCGUUCCACGUUAGGAAUUCCAGGGAUACUGCCUGACUCGGGGCCGAGAGAAGUCGGAGGUACUCCCGGGGUAGUGGUGAAAUACUGUAAUCCUGGGGGGACCACCAGUGGCGAAGGCGUCCGACUAGAGCGGGCUCGACGGUGAGGAACGAAAGCCAGGGGAGCGAACGGGAUUAGAUACCCCGGUAGUCCUGGCCGUAAACGCUGUGGGCUAGGUGUUGCAUGCUCUACGGGGGCGUGCAGUGCCGAAGAGAAGUUGAUAAGCCUACCGCCUGGGAAGUACCCUCGCAAGUUGGAAACUUAAAGGAAUUGGCGGGGGAGCACCACAAGGGGUGAAGUCUCGGUUCAAUUGGAUUCAACGCCGG